rnacentral:rRNA from 1 species
AUUGAACGCUGGCGGCAGGCCUAACACAUGCAAGUCGAACGAGUGGCGGACGGGUGAGUAAUGUCUGGGAAACUGCCCGAUGGAGGGGGAUAACUACUGGAAACGGUAGCUAAUACCGCAUACCAUCGGAUUUGCCCAGAUGGGAUUAGCUUGUAGGUGAGGUAACGGCUCACCUAGGCGACGCUCCCUAGCUGGUCUGAGAGGAUGACCAGCCACACUGGAACGGAGACGCGGUACAGACUAAUACGGGAGGCAGGGGUGGGGAAAAUAGCACAAUGGGCGCAAGCCUGAUGUAGCCAUGCCGCGUGUAUGAAGAAGGCAUUCGGGUUGUAAAGUACUUUCAGCGGGAAGGCGGUACCCGCAGAAGAAGCACCGGCUAACUCCGUGCCAGCAGCCGCGGUAAUUC